rnacentral:SRP_RNA from 1 species
GCCAGGUUUGGCACGGUGGUGUGCACCUAUAGUCCCAGCUACUUGGGAGGCUGAGACGGAUGGAUGGCUUGAAUUCAGGAGUUCUGGGCUGUAGUGUGCCAUGCCAAUGUAGUGUCUGCACAAAGUUCAGCAUCAAUAUGGUGAUCUCUCGGGAGAGAGGGACCACCAGUUGCCUAAAGAGAAGUGAACUGGCCCAGGUUGGAAAAGGAACAGAUCAAAACUCCUGUGCUGAUGAGUAGUGGUAUCUCACCUGUGAAUAGUUGCUGCACUCCAGCCUGGGCAAUAUAGUGAGAUCCUGGCUCU